rnacentral:sRNA from 1 species
CAUAGAACAGGUACAGCACAGACAUCGGCACUUCAUGCUUCCCUGCUCUGCCCCUCCUUUGUGCUCCUCUUGAUCUGGAAGGACCAUUUUUAGG